UUUCAAACUCUUUAACGUGGUACUUGAUGUAACGAUCCAUGGUGGUGACUUCCAUCAUCUUGGUAGCGUCGACUUGUCCAAGUCUCUCGAUAUAAACAGGUCUUCCUUCUUUAUCCACACCGUGAUGGCCAUGAGGGUAGUAUUUAAGAACUUCAUUUUUUUCACCGAACUGGAAAUCAUCCAUGAUUGUCUCCGUCCCAAAUUCUUUCCUCCAACGCAACAUAUCAGACCACAUCGGUUUUGCUCUAUCCACGUCGAAUUUCCUUGCCUUGAGAAAUCGGAGCAUCAUAUGGUAGUCGUCGUAUUUCGAAGGCAACAGUUCGUCAAGCAAAAGUAUCUGCCGGAAAGAGUCCACUGCAUGAACGUCUUCCGGUUUACGUACGUCCAAGAUUGUCGGAACCGUCGAUGCCACUUUGCUGUUCCUUUUACCAAUUCGGAAUGAAUGUCGGAAUUUCGCAGAGGCAUCAAGGGCUUUCUUCUUUAAACAUUGCAUUCGGGUCCUGUGUUUUUCAUCUUCAGAAUCCUCCUCGUCGGAUUUAUGGAGAUUGUGUGAUUCAAUCAUUUCUUCG
rnacentral:lncRNA from 1 species